CUUUGGUUUCCCUGUUCUUCUGUAAUCAGAGCAGCUGACUGUAGGCAGCGCCUGUUUGGUAGCUACCAGAGGCCCCCAGUCUGAACCCUUCACCAGAUGGUUGUCUGUGUUACUUUCGCUUUUUUUUUUUGUAAGGAGAAUAAACAGAGCCCCGAGGAAAGCAGGGUGUGGCCAUUUAUCCCCAUCUGAUAAUCAGGACCCACCAGCCUAUAUGUAGUUAACAAUGCAGGCACAGCUUGCCAUUGCUCAGAGAGAAGCAUGGCUCCUGAAGCUCUCGUGAAAUGGAUGGGACAGCAACAGCAACUGCAGCAGAUCCUGCCAUAGCAGCAACAGCAACCUCAGCAGCUACAAAUACAGCAGCACCUGUUCCAACAGAAACAGCAGUAAUUCAGGCUUCAGCUACUAGCUUGGGAUGUCCAGGACCACAGGAAGUGUCUCCCUGAAGUGUCAGUUAAUGCAACAAAGACACUUUUAGCCUCAGUUAAAAGGCGAUGUAUCCUGGCAUAAUUUUCAGAGGACACAGGCCCUUUCAAUCCCGUUCCGUAAUAGCUUCUUCCGUGAAAAAUGUCAAACAGAUAGCUCAUCAAGCGCACAAAUUUGAUGGUCCCACCACAGUUCUGAAAAGAAGGCAGGCCCAACAAUUGGAGACAUUCCAGUGUGCCAGCGACACUCUCACUGAACAGCUGUGCUGCAUAGUUCACUCUCAAGUGACAGCUUUCACUAUUUCCGGGUCUUCCUGACAAUCUGUCACUAAUAUGCAGUAAUUCCGUCUCCUGCAGAGUCACUAGGUCCACUAUGUGCUGCCAGUGUGCUGUU